AUUGAAGGAAUCAGUGUGAGCUGUCCCAGUCCAGAAGGAGUGGAUAACCCAUUGAACCUCCUUCAUGCCUGGGAUAAGGACUUGUAAUUGUUUCCCUUCAAC
rnacentral:rRNA from 1 species